AUCCUGACAUGAAUGUCUGUCCACACUUUCAGGUUUAGCAACAGAAUAUUUUCGAAAGCUGGGAUAGACAACACAUCGGUCCUGCAGGCUACUGAUGAUUUUGCAUCUGUUGAGCACCUACUGAGAGCAUUCACAACAGAUAAGAAGUUCGGGCAACUGUUGUUCAAAGAUCUCAAAAUAGACGAGAAUGAGUUGAAAGAAGCUAUCUCUGCUGUGUGUGACUACCAACGAGUCACAGAUCAGAGUACAUCUAAUGGAUGCCAUUUGCAUAUUGUGUUGAGAAGGCAAAGCAAGACUAUACCCUAUCUGAUCUCACGGAGCUGAAAGGCAUGGCCAUUGACAUUCAGUGGGUGUGAUGGAUCUGCUCUCCAACGGCGUGGGGAAACUUGACUUCUUCUCCUACUAGCACAAUGACAACCAGCAUGGAGAAGCAAGGGCGAGUGAGCUUAUUGAACUCAGCUGGAGGAUGGCGUGUGCACAUGGAGGAUCGGAGCAGCUGGAGCGGGAAAACGCCGUUGUCACAGUUUUUGUCGCCGGAGCAACAACACGUGCUGGAACCGACGGUUCCCUGCUGCUAGGAGCUGUCCAGGUUCUCUGCUAGAGUCGGGCAGCUGGAGUCGGCAAGGUGUCCUGCUAUGGUGAGGUGCUGCUGAUGUUGAUCGCCGAUGGCGAGGAGUCAGAGGGUGGUGAUGAGAAGCCUUAAACGUCUUAUACUUCCGAAUGGAGGGAGUAUGUUUUAACCUAUGUAAUAUGAAAUAUUUGAUUGCAUGAAUAUGAAAUAGGGACUGUAUGCAAGUUUGUUGUGAAGACCUAUUUUUGAUAUCUA